AUUGAUUAAGUGGAAGCUUGGCCUAUUAUCGAUAAAUGAAUGGAGUUUACGGAUUAAAGUUUGUCAUGAGGAAUUGACCCUGGUAUGUCAGGGGUCAAAUUUUCCAUCUGGAAAGGUAGACCACUGGUUUUAAGGAUUCGAACGUGAUUGCCAAGCUUGUUAUCUGGGCUAGACUGGUUCCUGUCUAAUAUAAGGAGGAUAAUAUAAUCAAGGAUAUUACUCAGCCAUUAGGGAGUGUGCUGAGGGUGGACGAAGUGACUUUGGGCUUGAAUAGCCUUUUUGUCAAGGUUCUGCUGGAGGUGGAUCUGAGGUUUCCACUGAUGCUGGUGCUUAUUGUUAACCAGGAUGAGAAAUGCCCCAUUCUUGUGAGUUACGAAAAACUUUUUGAGGUCUGUCUUUAUUGCGGGAAAAUGAGGUAUGAUGGUUAUGUCUGCCCCGAGGUGUAGGCUGAUGAUGGCUGCUUCAUGAUUAUCAAGGUGUAUGAGGAUGAACCUUCGGUGUUCCUAGAAGAUAUUGUGGUGGAUGCAGAUAUCAAAGCUAAUCUGCAAAAGUAUGUGAUGUUGUGCUUCCUUAGUGCUACUAUUGGUGGAAGAGGAGACCAUUGAGAUUGUGGAGAUGGGACAACGUGUGGACGAUGAUGGUUCUGAUGAGGAUGGUUGGGCUACUAUUACUCCAAAAUAGAGAAGGAGAGCUGAGAAAAUAAGGGUUGGUGAGAGUUAGAUGACAGGUCUUUUAGGUAGGUGGUUUCUUGCCUUAAGACUAAAGUGGGUGGCUAGGGCUGAUCUGGUUUAGGAUUGGAGAAGAGCAGGGAAAUGUGUGGAUCAGGAUCAAGGGGAUGUUGUGAUGUCAAGAAUAAGAAGUGAAGAGGGUGAUAAUAAAGACAAGUUUAGGAGCCUGGUUGUGGCUUGUCAUGCUGUUGAGGGUGCCUCUGUGAGUGAUAGACCAACUAUAAGGACGCUGAGUCCAAGGAAACGUGUCUGUGAGGAGGAUGCUGCAGGAACGGGACGAAGUUCCUACCUUAACGAGCUGGAUUAAUGAAGUGCAUAGUUUGGAACUGUAGGGGAAUGGGUAGACCAGAGUUUAAGUGUAAUUUCAAUUAUUUAUGUAGUUUGGAAUCUCUAUGGCUAAGGCCCCUGUUAGGUUUUUUAGGAAGUAUUUUGAUCAUUUUUUUUGACAUGACCCCAAUGGAAGGUCUGGGGGCCUUUGUAUUUGCUGGAACUCUGGAACCAUUAAUAUUAAUGUCAUUGAUGCUUGCUCUUGUUUUAUACAUGUGGCAAUUAAAGAUAUUAGAAUGAACGUUGAGUACUUUGCU
rnacentral:sRNA from 1 species